rnacentral:lncRNA from 1 species
UUUUUUUUUUUUUUUUUUUGGCCUCACCCACAGCAUGCAAAGGGAUGCAGGCUAGGGAUUGAACCUGAGCCAUAGCAGUAACCAUAGCCCCAGCGGUGACAACACCAGAUCCUUAACACGCUAAGCAACCAGGGAACUCCAAUAAUACAUUUUUUUUUUUAAAUUCAGGUUAAAAACUUCCAUUAAAUGGUCUUUUUCUUCUUUGCUAUAUCAACUGUGGAACAACUGUAACACUCAUCCUACUAGGCUUUGUGGUGAAACAGUAAGGAUCAAAUUCUGACUCUCCAAAUUUCUGGAAACAAAAACUUGGGCAAGGUAUAUGAUCUCAAUGUAUUACUACAUUAAAAAAAUCUCAAUUUUCUCAUCUGAAAAAUGGGGGCAACGAUGGCUCUUAGCCCUUAGCCCUUGGAGAAGUUUAAAGGAGAUAAGCACAUGCAAAGAGAAAUAGAGAAGUUGUUUAGCAAGAAUUAAUUAUUGUUAAAGAACCUCUUUUUAAAAAUUUUCUCCCUCACCCCUGUCUACAGCUGCCCUCUUGGUGUCUCGAUUUAUCUGGUAGUUCUCUGUCACAUUGUCUGGAUGCAUUUGCUAUAAGCAAGUGCUAAGUCCCUGCAAAGAGACUUCCUCUUAUUCAUAUUUGUAUGUCCCAUGUGUUUGGUGCCAUCUGGGAACCUGUACAGAUUCAAGGUGGAGGAAGGAGCUGGAGGAAUGUGGAAGAUGUGCCUCCCUGGAGGCAUAGCUCUUAUAACCCAGUCUUGCCUCCUUGAGGUCCACAUCCACACCAUAUUUGUCGGAGAUGUUUGGUUGUGUCACAGAACUCUAACUCAAACCAGCAAAAGCAAGGUUUGAUCUGUUGGCUCAGACAACUGGGAAGACAUUUGGGUGGCUUAGAGGACUAAAGCAAGAGCAGGCAGACCUAGAGCCUCAGGGAAUUGAACUGGGAAUUCAGUUCAACCCAUUUGCUUCUCUUGCCAUUUCCAUUUCUGCUUGGUGUGUUCAAACUUUCAAAUACUAGGGAAAAUGGCUCUCUCAUAAUCCCAAACCUAUAACGUUCCAGCUUGGUAAACUCACGCAGGGUGGAAAGAUGGCUUCUUUCCCCCAGCGAUUCUUUAUUAAUCUCAGGAUAAAAAUGGUACAAUUAGCCACUCACCCUGAGUCAAGAGUCUUUUGGACCCUUUUGGACAACCACUGUUGCCAAGUGAAUGAAGUCUUCUGAUUUGUUAGGCCCAGGCCAUGUACCAGUGCCAUGUUCAAGGGCAGCAUGUGGGAAAGGAUGAAGGCAAUAUAUCUUAUGGGUUUCUUAAUAGUCUGAUAAAAAAUAAUUCACUGUACUGGUUCAUUGCAUUUCUCUAGUCUGUGUCUGGGGUUUUCACUCAUAUUUUGGGGGCUGAAAAAUAUCAAAAAUGUAUUAUUUCAUUCCUCACAGUUCUGAUUUUUCCUUCUUUUGUUCUCACAGUGUGAUAGUGAGAAUACUUAUAGGCUAUGCUGCAUGUUGGUGUCCCUACCCUGUGCUACUCCAGAAACAGCACUUGGCACACAUACUUUGUCUUUGCUUAUGAGGCUGAGCAAAUGUGCUCAGAACCUAAGUAACUUGCUCUUUUCAACAGUAUUUCUCUUAUACUUAAGCUAACGCGUGAAACACAGAAAAAACUCAAUAAAUACUUGUUAAAAGAAAGAUGGAGAGUACUCUUUCACAGUGUGAAAUAAAAACACAGAUAUCAGGCAUGUAACUCAGAUUGAGCCGUGGGGGGAAGGGGGGAGUAGGUAUCAGUGACGCUGAGUACUGAAGGCAGCGUAGGAGUAAAGAAAGAGAACAUCUAAGCAGUGGGAAGGUCGGAGUCAGUGUUGUGCCUCUGCUGGCUCCCUUAAGCCUGCAGGAUGUACUCAUCUCUUCCCUACCCCACGUUCAGUGAUUUCACAUUGGCAGCUUGAAAUCAGCUGUAAUGGGAAUAGUUACCAGAGAAUCAGAAUCCUUACAAAGCAAGGCUUCAGCUCUCUUCUCCAGAGAGCUGACAGUUAAACAUUUACCAUGCCCCUGCAUGAAGCAUGAGCAGGACAGAAUAGUGCUACAGAUGAAGCUAGAGAGCAACUCAAAAAACGAAUCAUGAAGGAACUUAUGUGUGAAGUACAAACAUCUGAAUUUCGUAGCUACUGAACAAUUUGAAAGGGAAAAUGCAUGACAUGACUUGCUCAGUACCUGCUAACUAGAGUUCAUCAACAAUAGCUUUGUAUGGCAAACUUGGCAGAAAAUGUUAUAAAUAGUCAUCCUGUAUUAAAUGCUUGCAGUUCUAGGGAAGUUAUUGCCUGUCUAGCAAAUCGAUCUGAGCCAACAGCUUAGCCUAGAGCUAUGCCAGGCCCAACCUAAGCUUGAUUCCAUCAAUACCAAGUGUGGCCACAAUAGCUGCACUGCUUUAAAUCAGUGCCAGUAGCUCAUAUAUCCCAUACAAUACAAGUCUAUUUCCUCUUGCCACCUGGCACAUCACCCUCCGGAAAUGUUGACAUUAGCAAACUUCCAACAAAAGGCUGUCAAGUCUCACCAUAUUUUUUCUUUCCAGUCUAGGUUAUUGCAGGUGUGAUCUUGUCUAGUAGCUGUGGUACAAACUAAAUGGAUUUUUACAUUGCUUUCAAAAUUUAUGAAUAUAUAUAUACAUAUAUAUACACACACACGUAUAAAGGUAUAUUGAAGACAGAGAGAGACUGAGAGAGGGAAGAAGAAAAGAAGGGAAGGAUAGAAGGGAGGGAAGAAAAAGCAAUAAAGUAGUGUUCUUUCUAGGGCUGUAGAGAUAGAAAUCUACAGUGAAAUCAAGAACAGCACGUGAGAGUUGGAUGAAAUGAGGUGCUACACUGGACCCCUCUUUUCAGAGUAAUUGUGUUGUGUUUAGUUUAGGGUUUUGGUUUUUAUGAAAGCAUGAGGUGUCAGCAGCAGAUAGGCUCUUGAAAACUUACUUGACUUCACAGCAAAGAGUUUUCUUCCUUUUCCUAGUUUCUGAUUUCUAAAAGAAGUUUAUAGUGUCUUAGUUCCUGAAUCUGACUCUCUCUUCUCUUGGGGGUCUCUGGCCUUUCUACUGCUCUUUGUAGGAAAUGCUUUGUGUUUAAAAUGACUCUUUUUUACCUGUUUAAACUUUUUAUAGUGUGCCAAGAAAAUUUAUAAUAGAAUCAGGAACUUGAAUUAAUAUUGCUAUCACAAGUUACUCUCCUGGAAAAGUGGGUACAGAACAAUCUAAUGAGGAUAAACUCAAUAAAAAUUUUUCUGUCUUUUGAAAGUGAUCAUCCAAGAAAGUUGGUCAUGGGGCAAAUUUUUGUAAACCAAAAUGUAAGUACCAUUGAACUUAAUAGUAUACGAUCACUUCAAGAAUUAACAAAGACAAGCUUAACUCAAUGUCUGUACUGAAAUUUAAUGGAAUAGAUUCCAUUAUUACUCAAUAAACCUCCUGGCCUCCAAUCGGCAUGAGAAUAGUCUACUUUUAAUUGUUUCUGGAUGUGUGACUCUCUUUGGUCUCCUGUCAGGUACAGUGUUCAUUAUUGCCCUUACCUUUGGGCUGGUCAAUUUUUAUUGACUUGUUUUGGCCAAUACGUUGUUCUCAGGUGUGAAACAAGCAGAAGCUUGAUAUGUACUAGUGUGGUUAAAAUUUCUCUCCUGUAGGUGAGAAGAAAAUAACCUAGGUAAUCUGUUUUUCCCCAGAAGGAUGAGAGACAUGUAGGGCAGAUCUGGAUUCAACUUGCAACUUGGAGCCAAGCCCAGUCUACUCCAGCCUAGAUCAGGCACAGACACAUUAAUGAAAAUAAAUGAUUGUUGUUUCAAGACACUAAGUGUGGGAUGGAUUUGUUACUCAGUAUUAUUGUGGUAAUUGUUGACUGAUACAAACAGUAAAGAUAAAACAAAUCAGUGAAAACAAUGCAAGCAGUCAAUCAGACUGUUGUAUUGCUAGUAUAAACUAGGAAAGCAUGAGUUUCUUGAAGAGAAAACUUUGUACAACAAUCACCAACUUUAUAUCUACAAAGAUGCCUUCAUGCUCUCAUGGUGGUUCUCAUUUUGUCAUGCUCAGAGCAUGCCUUGUAAGAUGGAAAGACAGUCUGAAAUCAAACUUUUAUAAAGUAAUAUUCUUUACAUUUCAAUAGUUAUGUCUCAUACUGUGCUUGGAAAUCAUACUAAAAUGUUAAAAGUAUUUAUCUCUGAAUGGUAGUAUUAUAAAUGUUUUCAUUUUUUCUCCUUAUUUAAAAAUUUUCAAUCAUUAUGUGGAUUAUUGGCAUGCUUUUAAAAUAUUUUAGCUUAUUUUAAACAAAUUUAGCCUGAUUUUCAGAUUAUAGGCUUUGAAGUGAUCACUUGUUUCCACACGGAAAGUUCAGAACUAACAGCAAAAAGAUGGAAAACGUAUAUAAACUGGUACAACCACUAUCGAGAACAGUUUGGAAGUAAACUAUACAUAGAACUACCAUAUGACCCAGCAAUCCCACUCUUGGGCAUAUAUCCAGACAAAACUUUCUGCAUGUUAAUUGCAGCUCUAUUCACAAUAGCCAAGACAUGGAAACAACCCAAAUGUCCAUCGACAGAUGAUUGAAUUAGGAAGAUGUGGUAUAUAUACACAAUGGAAUACUACUCAGCCAUAAAAAAGAACAAAAUAAUGCCAUUUGCAGCAACAUGGAUGGUACUAAAGACUCUCAUACUGAGUGAAGUAAGUCAGAAAGAGAAAGACAAAUACCAUAUGAUAUCACUUAUAUCUGGAGUCUAAUAGAUAGCACAAAUGAGCCUUUCCACAGAAAAGAAAAUCAUGGACUUGGACAAUAGACUUGUGGUUGCCAAGGGAGAGGGGGAGGGAAUGGAAUGGAUUGGGAGCUUGGGGUUAACAGAUGCUGACACUUGCCUUUGGAAUGGAUUAGCAAUGAGAUCCUGCUGUGUAGCACUGGGAAUUAUGUCUAGUCACUUAUGAUGGAGCAUGAUAAUGUGAGAAAAAAGAAUGUAUACAUAUAUGUGUAACUGGGUCACCAUGCUCUAUAGUAGAAAAUUGACAGAACACUGUAAACCAGCUAUAA